GUCCUGCCUAACCUACCCUAACCUAGCCUAACCCAAAGUUCUGUACAGGUAAUGGAAACAAAUUUAAAGGUACUGCCUAACCUACCCUACCCAAACUUAACCCAACCCAAAGUUCUGUACAGGUAAUGGAAACAAAUUUAAAGGUACUGCCUAACUUAACCUACCCUAACCUAACCUAACCUAACCCAAAGUUCUGUACAAUUAAUGGAAACAAAUUUAAAGGUCCUGCCUAACCUACCCUCACCUAACCCAACCCAAAGUUCUGUACAGGUAAUGGAAACAAAUUUAAAGGUCCUCCCUAACCUUCCUUACCCUAAUUUAACCCAACCCAAAGUUCUGUACAAACCAUGGAAACAAAUUUAAAGGUCCUCCCUAACCUACCCUGCCCUAACUUAACCCAACCCAAAGUUCUGUACAAUUAAUAGAAACAAAUUUAAACGUACUGCCUAACCUUACCUAACCCAAAGUUCUGUACAGGUAAUGGAAACUAAUUUGUAGGUACUGUAACACAAAAAAAGAGAGAGAGAAAAAGUAAAACAUAAGCAGGCGUCUAAUACUAAAAGAGAAACACAUGACUAAAUUAAGACGGUGUUUGUUAAAGCAUUAAACUUAAGCUUUGCGACUUGAUCUUAACCACGCAACUUGAAACCAACUCUUCCGAAGGUGUUUUGUAACGUUGACUAAAUCCCUACGACGAAAAAAAACUUAGCGUGAAGACCAAGUGAAAGAAGAAACAACGAAAUAAAUGAUUGUACUACGAAAAACAGGACCUGAAGGGGAGGGGGAGGAGGGGGUAACUCACUUAAAAAUGAUACGUAUAUUCUAGAAGUCACAUUGAGAAGCUAGAGGUUAUCAACAACGUGUAUAUAGAGGACAUUGAGGAAGAAGUGUUUGUACAGGAGUUUGUUUGUGUGUGUCGCCGCGGGGUCGUUGAUGGUUGAGGCGAGCCCCGGCGACUGUCUGAUCUUACUGGCGAAUGUUGAUAUAAGUUGUUGUAAGAGUUAACUAAUAUAAUGAUGCCUAUUUAAAGUUAUUUUAGCCGGUAGCUCAGAGAAUAGUGAUGUUAAUGCACUAGUACAAAUAUUGAAGACACAUUUAUUAUUAUUAUUAUUAUUAUUAUUAUUAUUAUUAUUAUUAUUAUUAUUAUUAUUAUUAUUAUUAUUAUUAUUAUUAUUAUUAUUAUCAUUCUCCUAUUGACCACUUUGUGAACAUCAUUUAUUUAAAGUACGGUAAGUAAUCAUAUACACUAGAUGCUGCAUUCUUUAUAUAUCUGUAACGUUGUGUGUGUGUGUGUGUGUGUGUGUGUGUGUGUGUGUGUGUGUGUGUGUGUGUGUAUCCGUCGGUGUUCCCACUAAAAAAAACAAAAAAAUCAACCAUGCAAAGAUCUUAUAACGUAUCUCUAAAGCAAGUUGUAUUUAGAAUCACCAGAGAACAACAACAACAAAAAAAUAUCCUACGUGCUCUCAGGAACCUUCAUCUCCCUCCUUCCCAUAGCCUUCCUUCACCCCUAAUGUGUUCUCUUGCCCUCCACACCACCACCCAACUGGCUACACUAACACUAACACCUCAGCAUCACACUCCAUCCUCACCUCACCGUCCACACACACUCACACUCACACACACGUACACUCAAUCUGGCUGUCUCUGUCCUGGGUUUCUCCUCCUCCUCUUCUUCCCUCCCUCCACGUUGUACUGUCUAAGGCUUACUGUUAUCUCUCCUUCUGCUUGCUCCUCGUAUUGUACUUUGUCGACAUCACAUAAAGCGUAGACCCCGUGAACAGACCCAGUCACUCUUGCACUCUUCUUCCUUCCUCUCUCUCUCUCGAUCUUACAGUCUUUCUCCCUCUCUCUCUCUCUUACUCUCUCUAAAGUAAUUGUUUUUUGUACCUUUCUGAAUCACUGCAUCGGUGUGUACCUGUCUUGGAUGUGUUGUUGGUUGGUUUGUAUCAUUGCACGUUUGAGGGUUGAUUUGACGUUGAUUUGGUUAGGGUGGAUGUGCUCACCGAUUUAGUACGCGGUUUUCCUAUUAGUACGCAGAUUAAGGGAAAGGUUAACUAGCCUGGAAACCGAUUGGGGUCUGAAAGUGAACGAUUGUCGAGAUAUUGCAGUGAAGGAAACAUAUCUUGGGCAUAAAAAUGAUUGAGAGGAAGAAAAAAACCGCUAAUCACUGCCGCUAUAAAAUGAGUGAGGUUUGAAAGUGAACGAUUGUCGAGAUAUUACAUUAAAGGAAGCAUCUUAAGGGCAAAAAAUAAAGAGAAAAAAACCGCUAAUCACUGCCGCUAUAAAAUGAUCGAGGUUUGAAAGUGAACGAUUGUCGAGAUAUUACAUUAAAGGAAGCAUCUCAAGGGCAAAAAAUAAAGAGAAAAAAACGCUAAUCACUGCCGCUAUAAAAUGAGUGAGGUUUGAAAGUGAGCGAUUGUCGAGAUAUUACAUUAAAGGAAGCAUCUCAAGGGCAAAAAAUAAAGAGAAAAAAACGCUAAUCACUGCCGCUAUAAAAUGAUCGAGGUUUGAAAGUGAACGAUUGUCGAGAUAUUACAUUAAAGGAAGCAUGUCAAGGGCAAAAAAUAAAGAGAAAAAAACGCUAAUCACUGCCGCUAUAAAAUGAUUGAGGUUUGAAAGUGAACGAUUGUCGAGAUAUUACAUUAAAGGAAGCAUCUUAAGGGCAAAAAAUAAAGAGAAAAAAACGCUAAUCACUCCCGCUAUAAAAAAUGAGUUUAGAAGAAUGUCCAAAAGAAAGGUCAACAAAGAGAUCAACUGAUUACCAAACGUUACAUCGACAACUUUUCACUUCUAAAUACCUCAUCUUCGUUUUCCAGGGCAGUUUUUCUUUAUCUUGUUAUGCGCACUAAGUCAGGAAUACCGCGUACAAAUUGCCGAGCGUGUCCCGAUUUGGUAUGUAAGUCCUUUCUACCUCUACCUGUGUUUGUUUACCUGUCACUGCACACCUGACCUGCACACACCAACCUGUUUCCGUAACCCUAAGUUGUACCAUGGCUGUUGUUGUGGUUGUUGUUGUGGUGGUGGUGGUAGUUAUCACAUAUGUUGUACAGCACAUUUUUAGAUCGUUAACCACUCAUCCGAGGCUUCUUUCUCUCUCUUCCUUCCUUCCUACUUUCCUCCCUCUCUCUCUAUUCCUCCUCCUCCUCCUUUUCUUCUCUCAUCACUCAAGUUAAUUAAUCGCUAAAGCUUAAUAGAAGUUACAUAAUAAGUACACACACACACACACACACACACACACACACACACACACGCAAGCACUCAAAUAAAACUACUGUGAGCAAAAGCGAGGAAUAAAAACUAAAACAAGAUCCACUUCACUAACCUAGCAAAUUAAGCUUAUACGAAAUUAUUCACUAAAACAAAACAAACAACAACAAAAAAAAGAAUAAAGCUGUGCAAAUGAUCAAGGGCAAAAGGUAUACGAUCGUAACUCUAUACAGGCUAAAGCUUCUUCUUAACUACUUGCUAACAGAGAAAUAAAUGUAAUAAUAAUAAUAAUGAUAAUGAUAAUAGUAAUAAUAAUUGUAAAGUACGAUUGUAAGGAAGCUGUUGUGGGACCAUGCAAGGAUUUGGGGGGCGGUAUGUGCGUGUGUGUGUGUGUGUGUGUGUGUGUGUGUGGGUGUGGGUGUGGGUGUGUGUGUGUGUCGCCCCCUCUCCCCUUAGGCCUCUCACCUGUAGGCCUAUAUUUUUAAGUCUUCGUCAGUUUCGUUGUAUUGAAGGGAACUUAAACUAUUCGUGUGUGUGUGUGUGUGUGUGUGUGUGUGUGUGUGUGUGUGUGUGUGUGUGUGUGUGUGUGUGUGUGAUGCAGUAUACUUAUCAAUAUCUUAUGUAUCUAUGUGUACGCAUGCAUGUGUGUGUGUAGGUAUACGCAGACACAUGUGCGUAAAUGUGUGUGCAUGUGUAGGCUGAGGGAAUGCUCUGCUAAGACUAAACACACUCUCUCUCUCUCUCUCUCUCUCUCUCUCUCUCUCUCUCUCUCUCUCUCUCUCUCUCUCUCUCUCUCUCUCUCUCUCUCUCUCUCUCUCCCCCAGUUACGAAUAUCCACAUCACACAUUCACUCUAACGUAAUUAAUUUUCUUAUAUCGAAGGUUUUUCACUAAUUUUAACCUAUUCGUUCAACUUACAUUCAUUUUAUAUUUCUCUGUAUAAGUAACGAAUUUCCUUAUGUCGAAGGUUUUUACACUAAUCUUAAUCUAUUCGUUCAAUGUCAUUCUUCCUCAUUUUAGUUUCACAUUCUCAAAACUCUUACAUUCACUUUAUAUUUCUCUGUAUAAGUAAUGAAUUUCCUUAUAUCGAAGUUUUUACACUAAUCUUAAUCUAUUCGUUCAAUGUCAUUCUUCCUCAUUUUAGUUUCAGAUUCUCAAAACUCUUACAUUCACUUUAUCUUUCUCUGUAUAAGUAACGAAUCUCCUUAUAUCGAAGUUUUUAACACUAGUCUUAACCUAUGCGUUCUUUGACAUUCGUGUGCAGUUUAGUUUAACAUUUUCAUUUACUUCACUUUUGUCUGCAUUUUAAUCUAUUUUUACCGUCACGUGCUGGAUAACCGGUUUCAUUCAUUCAUUUGUACAACAUUUUUUUCUAUCACAAGCUAAAUAUAUGUACACUUUUUUAUGCUCACUGGAGAAUCAAGGUAAUUUUUUUAUAUACAUCACACAUUAGAAAUGACACGUAAAGACUAACUAUUUCUUUAUGCUCGAGUUUUGGGAGACAAGUUUUAAUCUGUCUUAAUUUGUUUGCUCAUUAAUCUCUCCUUUUUUCCUCGGUGUUUCGUUUCUUUUACUAAUUCAAUAUAUCUCAGUCCUUUUUAUAACUUGGAUCUGUUAUUAUAUGUUUUAAGCGGUUUUUCCAAGUGGCUGCGUAAUCGAUUUUGUGUUAUGAAUGAUAUGUUUAAAAUUCUCCUCUAAAAAUCAACGUAUAUAUAAAUUGCAAGUAAUUUUCUACGAUUUUUGAACGGCAUCUUAAUCUCUUUGUCAGUUUAAACCUUUCCAACGCAUUUUUUUUCAUUUUUUUAUUGUCUUUCUCUUGUCCAAACUUUUCAAUGACUUUUACUUCUUUCAAGUUAAUGUACUAAAUAAUGUUUCCUGACACGAGUACGAUGGUUGUUCGAUUAUCCCAAAUAUCCUCUUUUGCGACAUUCUAAACCUCAAAACGAUUUACCUAAUUUCCUGCUAGUCGGGAAAUUAAAGUAUGUACUCUCUCUAAGAUAUAUAUGAAUUACAAAUCGCGCUUCCUUCCACUUCGUCUUUUCGCAAACUAAACAUUUUCUCACGUUCUAGAUUUGCUGUUGUCGUAAAAGUCGUCGUUAUCGCAAACACAAACAUGAACAUUGCUUCCUCGCUGCCCACUCAAGACUUAGCUCCUACCACUUCUUAGCCUACCAGAGAGAAAACAAAACAACGAACAAAGACGAACCUAUAUACAAAUCCUUAACCAACAGCAUAAACACUAGAUUCAGACAUACGCGAAACAAUAUACACGUACUGAUGGAACAAGAAACAAGCUACCGGGCGGAAUUCGGGUCCCUACAUACACACACAAAAAGGAAGAAUCUUAACUAUACCAAACCUUAAUCACUUCGUUAAACGCUACACUCGGACUUGUGCGCGAAAACGUAUACACUGAUAGAUAAGUGAAACGAACUACUGGUAUGAUACACGUUCUUACACAAAAAAGGGAAGAAUCUUAUACCAUUCCUUAAUCAUUUCCAUUAACCGAGUACUUAGGAUACGAGAGAAAGGAUUUACACAGAUAGAAUGAAGGAGAAAUAAGGGAACAGGUAUCAUACGAGUGUCUACACCUUACCAAACAUGGGGAAAACAAAUACAUACCCUUACACACAUUCUUAAUCAGCUCCUUAAACCCUACACUGAGGAAUACGAGAGAAAGGAUGAUAGAUUGAAGGAGAAAUAAGCCAACAGGUAUCAUUCGAGUGCCUAAGCCUUACCAAACAAAGAAAACCAAGAUAUACCUACACACACAUCCUUAAUCAUAUCCAUCAACCCUACACUGAGGAAUACGAGGGAAAGAAUUUACACUGAUAGACUGAAGGAGAAAUAAGCCAACAGGUAUCAUACGAGUGCCUAAACCUUACCAAAGAGGAAGAAAACAAAUACAUACCCUUAAACACAUCCUUAAUCAGCUCCAUAAACCCUACACUGAGGAAUACGAGGGAAAGAAUUUACACUGAUAGACUGAAGGAGAAAUAAGCCAACAGGUAUCAUACGAGUGUUUACACCUUACCAAACAUAGAGAAAACCAAGAUAUACCUACACAAACAUCCUUAAUCAGUUCCAUAAACCCUACACUAAGGAAUACAAGAGAAAGAAUAUACACAGUUAGAUGGGAAAAGCAAGAUGUCAUGUAUAAUUCGAGUGCCUGAACCUUAACAAUCAGAGAGAACUUAGAACACACCCCCUUAAUCCCUUCCACAAGCCUUACACUCCUCUACGAAAUAAAAUAAAAAUAUGCACAAUUAGAUAAAGAAUCAGGCUAACAGGUAUGAUCUAAGUACCUACACUUUACCAACCACAAAUAUAACGAUGGAAGUAACUUUAUACACAUUUUUAACAAACUCUUGAAAUUUUAAACCUAGCUAUGAGCAAAAAGAGGAAUUAAACUGAUAGAGAAAAUUAAAAACAAGCUAACAGGCAUAAUACGAGUUCCUACACUUUACCAACCACAAAAAUAACGAGGGAAGUAACUUUAUACACAUUCCUAAUAAACUCUUGAAAUUUUAAACCUAUCUAUGAGCAAAAAGAGGAAUUAAACUGAUUGAUAAAAUGAGAAAAAGCUAACUGGUAUCGUACGAGUUCCUACAGCUUACCAAACACAAAAAUAAUGAAGAAAUUGAUUUAAUACACAUCCUUAACAUAAACUCUUGAAAUUUUAAACCUAUCUAUGAGCAAAAAGAGGAAUUAAACUGAUAGAGAAAAUGAGAAAAACGCUAACCGAUAUCGUACGAGUUCCUACAGCUUACCAAACUCAAAACUAAUGAAGAAAUACCUUAUACACAUUCUUAAUAAACUCAAAUUUUAAACCUAUCUAUGAGCAAAAAGAGGAAUUAAACUGAUAGAUUGAAUGAGAAAAAAUCUAACAGGUAUAAUUCGAGUUCCUACAGCUUACCAAACACAAAAAUAAUGAAGAAAUACCUUAUACACAUUCUUAAUAAACUCAAAUUUUAAACCUAUCUAUGAGCAAAAAGAGGAAUUAAACUGAUUGAUAGAAUGAGAAAAAAUCUAACAGGUAUAAUACGAGUUCCUACAGCUUACCAAACACAAAAAUAAUGAAGAAAUUGAUUUAUACUCAUCUCUAAAAUAAACUCUUGAAAUAUUAAACUUAUCUAUGAGCAAAAAGAGGAAUUAAACUGAUAGAGAGAAUGAGAAAAAGCUAGCAGGUAUAAUUCGAGUUCCUACAGCUUACCAAACUUAGAAGAUAUUGAUUGAAAUACGUUCAUACACAUUCUUAAUAAACUUAAAUUUUAAACCUAUCUAUGAGCAAAAAGAGGAAUUAAGCUGAUUGAUAGAAUGAAAAACAAACUAACAGGUAUAAUUCGAGUUCCUACAGCUUACCAAACUUAGAAGAUAUUGAUUGAAAUACGUUUAUACACAUUCUUAAUAAACUUAAAAUUUAAACCUAUCUAUGAGCAAAAAGAGGAAUUAAGCUGAUUGAUAGAAUGAAAAACAAGCUAACAGGUAUAAUUCGAGUUCCUACAGCUUACCAAACUUAGAAGAUAUUGGUGGAAAUACCUUUAUACACAUUCUUAAUAAACUCUUGAAAUUUUAAACCUAUCUAUGAGCAAAAAGAUAAUAUACACAAAUAGAUAGAAAGAAAAAAAGAAGCUAACAGGUAUCAUACGAGUUCCUACAGCUUACCAAACUUAUUUAGAACCAACAAAUGCCUAUAUACAGAUCCUUAAUCAACUUCACGAAUCCUACACUUAGUCAAAUGCAGACAGGGUAUACACGAAUAGUUAUAACGAGGGAGAAAUAAGCUAACAGGUAUAAUACAAGUUUCUAGGCCUAUCUCAAACACGAUGGUGGAUGUUAUGUUAUAGUUGUUGUUAGUCAUUAAGCUAGCAGGUAUUGUACGGGUUCCUAGGCCUAACUUAACAUGAUAAUGGGUGUUGUUGUUGUUGUUGUUGUUGUUGUUGUUGUUGUUGUUGUUAAGAAGCUGCCAGGUAUUGUACGUGUUCCUAGGCCUAACUUAACAUAAUGAUGGGUGUUUUUGUUUUGUUGUUGUUGUCGUUGCUAUUAGCGGGUCAGGAGGACAUACACGCCACACUCAUUGGUCUAGGAAGAGGUCACCACCACCAUCACCACCAUCACCACCACCACCACCACCACCACCAUCACCUGCUUCUUCCUGACUCCAAAUGUUUAGUGUUGUGCCCAGGUGGUGUAGGGCAUAAUUAACCUGUCAUUAUUUUGUCCGUAGAUAAUUUUUCCACUUUCCAUUCAUUUUUUUUUUACAACAAAGGAGGCAGCUCAAGGGCACACAAAAAAAACAAUAAUAAAAAAAGCCCGCUACUCGCUGCUCCCAAAAAAGAAUUAAAAGAGGUGGCCGAAAGAAAGAUCAUUGUAGUACUUAUUAUUUUUCUAAUUAUCUUCUUCUUUUGAUUGGUUAAGGAUGAUGUUUUAUCCAUUCAUUUGGACGUUUGUUUGUAUUUUCGCUCUGAAGUUGAUUAAUUUGUUUUUUUGAAGGAAUGUAAGUCUGUUGUUUGGGUUAUCUUGAGUUUAUUUCCUUCUAUUUGUUUUAUUUCCAUCUAUUUUAUUUUUUCUCUUCAUUUUCAGAACUUUAAAAUUCGACCUGUUAUUUCCACUCAUUCAAUCCUCCUCUUCUGCUGUACAUACUUAAACUUACUGGAUUUGUUUAAUUUCUUUUACUUUAAUCCUUUUUUCUAUUCAUUUUCAGAACUUAAAAAUUGACCUGUUAUUUCCACUCGUUCAAUCCUCCUCUUCUGCUUUACCUACUUAUAAACUUUGGGUAUUUGUUCAAUUUCUUUUACUUCCAUUUUUAUUUUUCUAUUCGUUUUCAGAACUUAAAAAUUGACCUGUUAUUUCCACUCGUUCAAUCCUCCUCUUCUGCUUUACCUACUUAUAAACUUUGGGUAUUUGUUCAAUUUCUUUUACUCCCAUUUUUAUUUUUCUAUUCGUUUUCAGGACUCAAAAAUUGACCUGGUAUUUCCACUCGUUCAAUCCUCCUCUUCUGCUGCACAUACUUAUAAGCUUUGGGUAUUUGUUGAAUUUCUUUUACUGCCAUUUUUAUUUUCUAUUCGUUUUAUAAGUUUACAAUCGACCUGUCCUUUCCAUUCUUCCUUUCCUCUUCUACUGUUUUACAUACUUAAGCUUAAGCAAUUUCUUUAACUUCCAUUUUUCAUUUAUUUACUUACAGAACCUUACAAUCGGUCUGUCAUUUCUAUUUGUAUUUAUCCUCUGUACUGUUUUAUAUAUUUAAGUUUAAUGUAUGUGCUCAAUUUCUUUUACUACCAUUUCUUUUUUUAUGUUUACUUACAGAACUUUACAAUCGAUCAAUCACAUCUAUUCGUAUAUAUCCUCUGUACUGUCUCACAUUCUUAGUUUAUAUAUUUUUUUGUGAGUCUUAUUUUAAUUCGUAAAGCUAAUGGUGGAAAUGUGUUCAGUUUCGCAUAACUCUCUCUCGUGUUCUCUUGUUUUUGUUUUGUUUUCGUCGCUAAAACUACAAACAGAUUCUAACGCUACUAAUCAGCCUGGUGUUUAGAUUCGAUCCUUUGUCCGGCGCUAUUUAGCAUUCUUAACUAAAUAUUUUGUGGUGUUUUUUUUCAAGAAUGAUAACCUAUUGAUGGAACUGUCUCUACCUUCAUAUUACUUUCUCUGAUGUGUUUUUUUUUUCAUUUUUAUUUUUAUUUCUCACCUUUCAGACUUCAAAAUCACACUCUGUCAUUGCACUCAUCCAGCUAUUCAGUCUUUUUUUUUUUCAUUUUCCUUGUGACUUUAUUUCUGUUUUCAUGUGUUCACACUUUUAAAGCUUAUUAUUCAUCAACCAGUUUUUACGAUGCAUCAAGUUCUUCGUCUUUUUUUUUUGCGUUCUAAGUCAUUACUAUUUGUGAACUUCUUUUGGGGAAUGUAUAGUUUUUCUUCUUGUUGUGGUGGCAAUGUCUUGAACUUUAAACUUUCUCUCUCCUCUGCGUAUUUUCCAUUCUUAAAAUUGCUAGUAUAUGAUUGUACUCUUUCUCUGUCCUUUCGUAAGUUUUUCCAUUCUUAAAACUGCUGGUAUAUGAUUGUACUCUUUCUCUGUCCUUUCGUAAGUUUUUCCAUUCUUAAAACUGCUAGUAUAUGAUUGUACUUUUUCUCUGUCCUUUUGUAAGUUUUUCCAUUCUUAAAACUGCUAGUAUAUGAUUGUACUCUUUCUCUGUCCUUUCGUAAGUUUUUCCAUUCUUAAAACUGCUAGUAUAUGAUUGUACUCUUUCUCUGUCCUUUUGUAAGUUUUUCCAUUCUUAAAACUGCUAGUAUAUGAUUGUACUCUUUCUCUGUCCUUUCGUAAGUUUUUCCAUUCUUAAAACUGCUGGUAUAUGAUUGUACUUUUUCUCUGUCCUUUUGUAAGUUUUUCCAUUCUUAAAACUACUAUGUAUAUGAUGUACUCUUUAUCUUCUCUUUUCCCUUCUUAAAACUACUAAAAUGUGAUGUACUUUCAAUCUCUCCUCUAUAUUUUCCAUUCUUAAAACUACUAGAAUAUGGUGUACUCUCAAUCACUCCUCUUAUUUUCCCUUCUUAAAACAACUAAAAUAUGAUGUACUCUUUCUUCUCCUUUUUCCAUUCUUAAAACUACUAGAAUAUAAUGUACUUUCAAUCUCUCCUCUUAAUUUCCAUUCUUAAAACUACUUGAAUAUGAUGUACUCUCAAUCUCUCCUCUUAUUUUCCAUUCUUAAAACUACUUGAAUAUGAUGUACUCUCAAUCUCUCUUAUUUCCCUUCUUAUAACAACUCGUAUUGGGUGUAGCAGCCAGAUCCUCUUCCUCCACUCCUCAGUAACUCUACCCCGGAAUGAAUCACUAGUACGCGCACUUAAAACAUUCUACUAUAUAAUUAUUUACAUUCACCGUAUAGUGUAGAGUCCCUUUAAAAUUAGUCGUACUGCUAACCUGUUUUCUUCCUUUUAAAAUGCUUAAUAACUUGCCACUUACUGCUAGAUAUAAUUGUUUCUCUGUCUACAUUUAUCUCUUGGUCUAUGUGUCUUUUUGUCUCUCUUUCUCUCCCUUUCUCCCUCUCUCUCUACCUGUUCACCGUCUACAUAUACGUUCUACCUGUCUGCGUCUCUGCCUACACAACUGCCUACCUUUCUUUACACCUACGAAGUCACAUCUGCCUACCCCGAUAACAGAGAGAAAGCCAGAAUUACAGAUGAGGAGGAGGACUAGGAGAAGGAGGAGGAGGAGGAGGAGGAAGAAGGGCGAUAAUCUGAGUUAAGAGGAAGGGAUAACGAAUUAACAAGCCCUAAACCCUGAUCAUAGCGAGAGAGGGAGAGGAAGAGAGCGAGGGGGGAGGGGAGAAGGGAUUACUUAUCACUAAACUUUCUAACUUAAGUCUGACCGCGAUUCUUUGUGCCUCGCCGCCUCGCCCGCUGUGGCUGAAUUACCUGCCGUAGGAGAGCACCUAAUGAGAUCGAGGUGGCGGCAGAGGAGGAGGCUGCUACACCCGCCUUGUCCGAGUGUACCGAGUGUGAGGGCGGCGGGGAGGGUGUUGAGGUGCCCGCCGCCGUAUGUGAUGUCCAUCGGGUCGCUAUGAUAUGAUUUUGUGUUCUGUUGGUACCGUUUUUUGACUUGUUUCCAUUUUCUUUCUUUGGGUGUCAAGUGUGCGCCGCCGUGAAUCGUGUCCGUCACUACAAUUAAAGAUUUUUGGGGGUUUUAUCGGCACCGUUUUGAUUUGCUUCUGUUUUUCUUUCCUUCUGGCACGUUCACGCUCACUGGUUCUUCCGUUCUCGAUGUUGUUGUUGUUAGUCAUGGUAUGUGGAUGAGCACCAGUGAGUUACCCAGUUCCAGACUCCCACAAGCUCCACCGCCGUCUCCAGUCUUCACCUUCCCUCCCUCCCCUCCCAGAGUCAGUAACCACCCCCCAGGAGCCUCACGCGGUACUUAACAGUGAUCGCUUCUUUCUCGGCGGGUUUUUCGGUCCUGGUGUAAUUUUCUCCGGCAAUUUCCCGGGACUGCCUCUGGCCACGGUCGGUUUGGCCUGUGUCGUCGGCAGCCACUGAGACUCUGCUCCUUCCAUAGGCGGCCACAAGCCCCAUUGACUCCCUAUGAUGAGCCCAAGGAGGGUCGUUGGCUGGCGGAGAGUGACGGGGCUCGCACGCUGUUUUUCUCCUGAUGAACUCCAAUGAACUCCAAUCGAAAUUUCCUUCCCCAAACCCGGCCGUUACAUAAAGAGGAACCUUGUGGCCGCGGACGAGAGGGCGGCAGCGGGCAAGACCUCCUAACCCCGACGUCAUGGGGGAGGUCACGCCCGCCCGGAUCCUCACGCCCGUUGUGCAGCCAGGUGGUAUGGUGCUCUGACAGCCUCCUCGCUUAGUGCCAAUACCAGUGUCUAGCGCCCCGCCCUCCUCACAGGCGUCUCGUCCUCCUCCUUUGCUGUGUUCCUUUCACGCCUUUGUACCGGCGCUCACACCCAUCACCCACCAUCCGAGGACCGCCGCCUCCCCCCGCCUCUACCUAAGCUCACGGGACAACCCACCCCGCCGCGAGGAGGAACAACAACAAUAAUAACAGCGCCAGCAGGAGGAGGAGGACCAGGGCCGCGGGCAUACAGAGGGGGGCGGCGAGGAAGACACGAGGAGCGGCGGUGUUACAUCACGACCGGGCGGCGGCGGCUGUUAGGAAAGACCCCGAAAAACUUACCCCCCCGACCCCCACCUCUUUCUCUUGUUCCCACGCCCACGUCCCCGCCCGCCGCCGCGCCGCUCUUCGCCCCGCCCACCCCAGACUUGGUUCUUUCUUUCCCUCCCCGUGAACCCUUCUUGUCCCCGCACUUUGUUCUUCCGUUAAUGUUGUUGGUUUACUAAUAAGUACUCCCUAACUUAGCUUCUUUCUGUUUCCGAAUUACUUUGUUCUUAACCAUCUUUUCCCCUUUAGUUAGUUAGCUAGUUAGUUGGUUUCUCAUCCUUCCUUUGUUGAGCUUUAAAUUCUUUCUUAUCUUGUUUCUGUGUCCGAAUUUCUUAGUUUUUCUCUUCUUAUCUUUCUCAUACGUGUUUUGUUUCAUCCGCUGAAGUUGAUGUUCCAGUACUUUCUUUCAUAUGUAUUAAUGUCUUCCUAUAUCCUUGUUUUACUCUCAUCUCCCAUCCUUCCUUUGUUUCAUCCCCGAACGUUGAUUUUCACACAUAUAAACUUUUUUCGAUACUUUUUUUUGGUCUUCGUUCCCCUUCAACUCAAGUGAUCGUCCCCAUAUCCUCUCGCCAUUGGAAAAGAAAAAAAAAUGUAUAUAAAAACAAUAAAGUCUAUCCUUGUCUUCCUAACCAGCCUCCUCACGUCCGUUCAUCAGUGUCAGAAAUCAUAGAACAAGUCUGCUGUUAUUUUUUUUCUUUCCAACUCCUGUCGAGAAAAAUAUAUUGUUGAAAUUGUCUUUGUGGCAUAACCUGUUUUUCUCCUUUAAAUUUAUUGAGUUUGUGUAUCACUGGAACGCUGAUUUUUUUUUUUUUUUUGAGAGUGAAGAAAAAUAGAGAAUUACACCUCCUUCUUUUCUUUCUCCUCCUCCUCCUCCUCCUGCUCCUCCUCCUCUUUCUCCUCUUCUUCCUCCUCCUCUUUCUCCUCCUCCUCCUCCUCCUCCUCUUUCUCCAGUACGGUUCCUUUGUUUUGUCUACGAAUGCAUCUUACUGAUUUUGAUCUCACGAUGUAUAAAAUAAAAAAAAUAUAUAAAAAGGUGUUACACGACUAUUUCCCUCCUAAUAUUUUUUUUAAGUCAAUUUCUUGUUUUGUCGAAACUGAAAAAUAGAGAAAAAAAAGCUACUCCGAUUUUUUUCUUUUAUACUGUACAAACUUCUUUCAUCAUCGUCAUCAUCAUCAACAUCACGUCUUCACACACCAACAUUUCCUUCACUUUUUUUUUUUUAAUUUUACUCAAUGUCCUUUUCUUUCUUUGUUUCAGAAAGGUGAGUGCGUGUCCUUGGAGUCGAUGUGUGGAGAAUAUGCAGCAUUUGGGUGAGUACAGCUGUGCAUUUGUCCAUCUAUUUAUUUGUGCUUGUGUAUGUCAUUGCAUGCGACAAUUUUGCGUGGGAGGAAAAUAAGGAAGGAAGGAAAAUAUAUUAAGCAAAGGGAUAAGAAAGGAAGGAAGGAGUAGGAAUGUUGGGAACUGAAUGGAAGGGAAUGGAGGAAGUAGGAAGAUGAGGGGAACUGACGAGAUAGUGGAAGGGAAGGGAAGGGGACUGAUGGGUGAGGGAGGAAGGGAAUGUAGAAAGUAGGAAGGGCAAGGAAGGGAAGGGAGAAAGUAGGAAGGGAGUAAGACUAGGGGAUGAGGGGAACGGAAGGGAAGGGAUGGAAGGUUUGGGUAAGCGAUAAGGUAUAGAAGGGGACUGAAGGGUAAGGGAAAGGGAAGGGAAGGGAAAGGAAGGGUAAGAAAUAGAUAAACCAGAAACGGAAAGGAGCUAAAAGGGAGAGGAAAUAGGAAAGAAUGAUUACCACUGUGUUGUUAUUACGAAGCACCCAAAUUAUACAGCUUACGAAAGUUCCUGCAUUUGAAUGAACUGGAUGGACUCAGGAAGUGAAGGGAGAAGCUGUAGAUAGACACGAGAAAUGGUCACGAAGAUUAGUAAAGCGACUCUUCUUAUUUCUGCGCCAUUGGGAAGAAAAAAUGGGAGUGAGAAAACGAAAAAAAAUGGGAGCUGGAGAAAAUGGAAGUCGUGCGUUGUUAAGUCCGUUUUCUUUGUGCUUUUUUGUUGCGAGUGCGUGGAAAAUGAGAAAAGGUUAUGCGUUUUGUGCGUUUUCUUUGUUUUCAGAUGUCAGUGCGUGUAGAAAAUGGGAAAAUGUGAGUUUAGUCCGUUUUCUUUGAGUUGUCGUUUACGAGUGCUGAGGAAAAUGGGAAGUGGAUAAGUAUAGUCCGUUUUUUUUGUUAUCUGUUGCGAGUGCGUGUAGAAAAUGGGAAGAGGGUGAGUUUAAACCGUUUUCUUUGUUAUCUGUUGCGAGUGCGCGGAGAAAAUGGGAAGUGGGUGUGAGUUAAGUCCGUUUUCUUUGUGUUUUCGGCUACCAGUGCGCGUGAUCAUUCUGUGAAGUUGGACACUUUAUAACGAAGAAAGAAAAUAAGGAAAAAGAAUGGUGUGUUAUUCUCUCUCUCUCUCUCUCUCUCUCUCUCUCUCUCUCUCUCUCUCUCUCUCUCUCUCUCUCCCCCCCAGUGUCAGUGAGGCGUGUAAGAGAGGCGUUACGAGCCUAAUUGUUUGCUAAAAAAUUGGUCGCAGAAAGUGAGGCAACUCGAGGACAAUUGGCAACACUGCGGAGGAAAGUUAGAGCGGAAAAAGUGUCUUAAUUUGGCGCAGAGAGAGAGAGAGAGAGAGAGAGAGAGAGAGAGAGAGAGAGAGAGGGAGAGGGAGAGGGAGAUAUGAAUUAAAGAGAUUCUGUUGAAGUUCUUCGCUAUGUUUAUAUUUUUUGUCUAAAGAAUUAAUUUUUUGGAUAGGUAAAGACGGAUAAAAAUAGAUAGAUAGAUAGAUAGAGAGAGAGAGUGUAUGUGUGUGUGUGUGUGUGUGUGUGUGUGUGUGUGUAUGUGUGUAUAUCAGUAUCUAAAGAAUUAUUUUUUUGGAUAGGUAAAGACAGAUAUAGAUAGAUAGAUAGAUAGAGAGAGAGAGUGUAUGUGUGUGUAUGUCAAUAUCUUUGGUUAUCCGAAAUCACUCACUACUAAACACUGGUCCGUUACUUCGUCUCAUCGUCAACAUUACAUAAUUUAUCUACUCCUAAUAAGUACUGUAUAGAUAUUUUUUUCCUUUUAUUUAUUUCUCUGCGUGAUGGGUCGAGUCUCGCGUGUAACAUUGCCAUAAUCUGAUGUCUGUGUGUUGGAUAGGUCAGACUAAGACGUAGGAAUUAGUCAUCUUUGGGUUAAUCUUUGGAGGAGGAGGAGGAAGAGGAGGAGGAGGAGGAGGAGAAAUGAAGGAUAAUCAUAAUAACCAGGAAAUACUUCUCUUGUCAUGGACGUUGUGUUACCUAGCCUACAUAUCUAUUGUUUUUGUUUGUUUUGUUUUCUAUUGACUUAUUAUGCUUGAGGGAAGGAGGGAGGUGAAGGGAAGUAAGGGAGGUUCUAGUCCUUUGGUUAAGUUGGGUAAGGGCGUAAGGGAGAAUCUAGAGAGGUGGAAGGGAAGGGAGAUGGACCGGGGGGAAGAAUGAGGUUUUCGAUUCCUUUGGUUGGCAGGGAGGGAGGUUCGGAAGGGUGGAAGGGGGUUGGGUCAGGGAGGUUAUAGUGCUUUGGUUUACUUCGGUGAGGGUGGAGGGGAAGAGAUAUGGAAAGGGUGGAAUGGUAAGGAAUAACAAGCCUUCCGAUUCCCUUAGUUGUGUGUGUGUGUGUGGGGGGGAAGGGGAGAUUUUAUAAGUCCUUUGGUACACUUAGUUGGGUUGGAAUGGAAGGGAUGGAUGAGAGAGGUGGAAGAUUGAGUAAGGAUGCAACACAGGGGUUUAAAUUCCCUUGCUUGACGGCGGAGCUUGGAUGUGGGCGAAGGGGUCGAGGAGGAAGGGGGGGUUAGAUUCUAUAAGUCCUUUGCUUCACUUAGUUGGGUUGGAAUGGAAGGGGAGAGAUGGGAACGUUGGAAGAGUGAGUGAGGAUGCAACACAAGGCUUUCGAUUCCCUUCGUUGACGGCGGAGCUUGGAUGUGAGCGAAGGGGUCGAGGGAGGAGGAACGAGGCGGAGGAGGUUGCGGGGUGUUGGUAUUAUAGGAACCCUGAAUGGAGAUGUAAUUUAUGAUUUGAUCCCCGAGGCUGGAGGCUUAAUAGAUGCGUGUAUGCUCCAGCGGGCAGGGGUCGGGAAGUGAGGCUGAGGCGGCGGUGGCUGUAAUAAUGACGGAGAGGCGGGAGGGAGGGAGAUAUAAGGGAUGCUGGAGAGGGAGAUGCAGAGUAAUGAGAAAGGAUAGAAGGAGGGAGAAAGGGAGGUAGAGGGAGGUGAAGAGCCUGUGAGGUGAAGGGAGAACUAAAGAAGGAAAGUAAUGAUACGUACUACUGAAAAUAAGGGAGGGAGGGAGAGGAAGGGAGAAAUUAGAGAUGCAAUAUAGGAAAGGAGGUACGGAGUUAUGAGAAAGAAGAGAGGGAGAAAGGGAGAAGUGUCUAAAGGGAGGGAAAGGAAAAAUAAAGAAGGAAAAUGAGGAAAUAAGGAGAAAGAAUAGAGAUAGGAAGACACAGAGAAAUGAAGAGUGGGUAGGAGAGGGUGAAUAAAGAGGAAAAGAAGGAAAACACAAAGAAGGAAAAUGGAGGAAGGGAGAUUUGUACUACUGAAAACAAAUAAGGAAAGAAAAUAAUAAAAAAAGGAAGAAAAAGGUCAAAUUGAUUGCAGAAAGAGGAAAAAAGAAAAGGAGGAGGAGGAGGAGGAGGACAAAAACGCCUGGGUUGAAAAAAAGAAAACGGGAAGGAUAUUGAGGUUCUGACAACAUUUUCUCCUGAGGUCAUACUGAAUACUUUUUGGGGGUUGGUUGUUUGGGUAAUUUCCAGUGUGAUUCUCGCGGCGUUCAUUCUAUCUGUGUCUGUCUCUGAUUCUAUAAUACGAGGGAUGAUUCAAUACUGGUUACCUGCAUACCGUAAGUCACCUUCGAACAUAGACUCAUAUCAUCAAACGCUUCAGACUCUUGUUACGAUCAUUUAUUAAGGUCACAGAGAAGAUACAUCGGGUUGCCAUGAGUGUUUCCCCCGUUCAUGGCGCAGAGGUCUUAUCAAGCUACCACCAGGGUCCAGAAACCACCCCCAUGGCAACCCCGGCAACUUCUACAAGAGCCUUCUCAAAUUGACGUGUACCAAGGUUCCAAAGAGCUUGAUAACAUGGGUCUAAGAAUACUCGGGUGCUUUUGGUUUGGUCUACACGGCUUGUCCUCUACCAGGGUCUGUUUUGUGGAAUUCUAUAUCGUUUGAGGUCUUCAGGUCGGAGUUCAUUUGCUAGGGAGGUCUUGUAUGGUCUAAAGGUUGGCUGGCUAUCUCUUGUCUGCGAGGUUUUGUUUCUAUAUUCUGUCUACAUUUGAGGUUUUUUCGAGAAGCAGCUUUUCUACAUAUGGGGGACUACACUAUGGGAUUGGGUGUGUAUAUACGAUUCGAUCUCUUUCAGUACUAGGUAUAAGGUGUUAGAACUUCUGUGUAUGGUGUCCUUCUCUCUUCUGUGACCUCUGUGGCGCUGUGUCUUGUGGUUUCCAAUAGGGUGUUCCUCUACUUAUGGAAACUAUCACUAUGGGACUGGGUGUCUAUAUAGGAUUGGAUCUCUUAUAGUGUCAGAUGGUGGGCUUCUAUAAGGUAUCAAGUCCUUUGUGCGUGGUGUGUCUUUGUCUACAUAUGGGGACUAUCACUAUGGGACUGGAUGUCUAUAUAGGGAAUUGGAUCCUUUUCAGUGUCUCGUAGUGGGCUUGUAGAGGGUAUCUGAUCCUCUCUGUACGGUGUCUUUGUCUCGUGUGGUCUCUGUGGCGCUCUAUCUUUGGCAACUCUACAUCUAUGGGAGCUCUUUCUCUACGGGGAUGUGUAAAUAUACGCGUUUUAUGUCAUAGCUAAUAGUGUUUUUUUUUAUUUUAGGUCCUAUCUCGGCUUCUACCAGUGGCGAGGGGUGUGUUAUAUACCUUUCCUAGGGGGCACUAUUUUAAAGGGUGUUGGUAACCUCUAUCGCUGUGGUGGUGGGAGUGGCGAGUUGUAAGGAGACUGGACGGUAGGAAGGAAGGGUGAAGAGAUGGUAGAGAGGAAGUUGGGUAGGUAAAGAGGUUGGGUAGUGGUAAUCUUGUAACACUGGGGUAGAUAAGUGUGCAGAAGAGGAAGGAAAAAGUGCGCGGAGGAGGAAAAGAUUAACUUGAGUUGUGAAGUGAAGGCAAGAUAUGAUAAAGACAUGUAUAGAAGAGGGAGAAACUACAACACGGAGGGGGGAAAAGGGGAACAAGUGAGGACGAGGGGGCAGAGAGCAUGAGACUACAGGACGGAUCUAUUUCUUUGCCGCGAGGGAAGGCGUGGCAAAGCGCUUUCUCUUUGGCCUGUCCUUAUCUUUGGGGGCUGCGCUUUUCUUUGGCCCGGCUACGUGUGUGUGUGUGUGUGUGUGUGUGUGAGUGAGAGACAGAGAGAGAUGACUACUAAGCAUGCAGAGAACGUUGCUUAAGUAAGGUCGUAAUUCACAAAGGUCAUGAUUCUCAGUUUAAUGCGGAAAGUUAAGUGGCAGAUUCAUCCCGACGCACGCACACACACACACACACACGCACACACAAAAAAAAAGAAAGAUUUGUGUUUUAAAAGUCAAGCGUCACGACUCCACAGAACUACGCGCUGACGUUUUUAUUAAGAACUCUGGUAAAAGGGAAAUGUGCAGAAGGAGGAGGAGGAGGAAGAAGAGGGGGAGGAUGGUGUUGGUGUUGAUGGUGAUGAAGGUGGAGGAGGAGAAGGUGGAAGAUAUAAAAAGAAGCGGUUUUUUUUUUUUCCAGCGGGCUUUUUUUUCAUUAUUUUUUUUUACGCCCUUAAACUGUCUCUUCUGCUGUAAAAAAAAAAAAAGAAAAGAAAGUUGAUUAGUGUUUUCCAUAGUCGUAAAUUCUAGUCCAUUCUGUAUUUUCCUCUUUCUCCAUUUUCACGAGUAAACUAUUUUUUUUUUUUACAUCUUUCCCGUGUACCGCCUUAUUUACUUCAUCUUUUCCCGUGCAAACUUUUCCUGUCGUCUAUUAUUUUUUUCUUUUUUUCUCUCUCAACUACAACUUUACCCUUUCAUGAAUAGCUAUUUUUCUUUUCUUCCUUUUUUUUUCUUCUCCCUGUCUCGGUUUCCUUUCCUGAGUGAUUUACGAACGAGAGUAGAUUGUUGUGUACGUGUGUGUGUGUGUGUGUGUGUGUGUGUGUGUGUGUGUGUGUGUGUGUGUGUGUGUGUGUGUGUGUGUGUGUGUGUGUGUGUGUAUGUAUAAAGUUAUUCAUUUUCUCAUAGUCACAGCUCUGGCGUUGAAAGAUUCUUCAUAAUUCAUAAUGGCUAACACAGCCUAUGCUUAUGUACUUUUUUUUUGGAUCAGAUUUUUUGUUUAUAUAUAUCAUACACUUACACAUAUUUUGCCCUCCCUCUUUCUCAAAACACUAAAUUUAUAAUAACACAGUGCUUAAGAUUGUUCACGUCCUGCAGGUAACUCAAAACAAAAGAAGAAAGACACAAGCGAAAUUGCAGAAAAAUAUACGCAAAAACAAAAUACAAAAGGAAGCGUGAAGGACAAAAAACUUUGGAAAACGCAAAUGCAUGAGUCUACCCUGAAGUGUUCCCUGAAGGACGCGAAGUGGGGAGAGUUACCAACCCUCGUUAUGAGCGGCGACAUGACCCGGCCCGGAGAACUCACCUCACUCAUCCUCUAUAUCACAUGUUAUCGCUUCUCGCAGCUGUAACGAUGGAAGAAAUAGGUGACUCUAGCUACAAGAUACUUUGGUCCCCUUAGAUACGUUUUUCAUAGUUUCCCAUCCCUUAUUUUCACUGCCUUUUGUUUUUUUCACGAACUCUUUUCUCCCUUCGUCUUUGGCACAUGCCCCGGGCCGUUCACUCUUUCUGCGCAUCUCAUAGCGGGGUGUGAGGCAACUCCUGUGUGUGUUUGUGUGUUGGUUGGUCUCUCACGCACGCACGGAACUCGAGAUAGGGGGCGUCAGGGCAGUUAGAGUCAUUCACACUUAAAGCUGUAGGGCACCUUCUCUCAGUAUCACCGCUGCCGCCGACUCGCCUCCCCCCUCGGCUAUACCUACACGCUUCUUUAAGAGUUAGUAAUCGUGGACCCAGAUUGCCGAGACCAUUUACACGUUGGCUCCCGCGGGUCAUAUCCUCCCAACAUUCAUUUCCCCCUCUCAUAUAUUUUUUUUUACCGCAAAGGAGACAGCACAAGGGCACACACAAAAAGGAAACGAUAUAAAAAGCCCGCUAUUCGCUGCUCCUGUAAAGAAUCUGAAGAGGUGGCCGAAAGAGCAGUCAAUUACGUGAGAAGAGGUGUCCUGAUAACUGAUAUGUAACCUUUAGCUAAUAUAUGAGAGGGAGAGACAGAUGUUGAGACUGUAUGGCAAAACGCGGUACCCAAAACGGUCCCCCCAAUCUGGUUCCACGAUAGUUAGUAAUCAUCUGCCAUCACAAUAGGAAUACAUCAUCAUUUGCUUAGUGUAGCACAUACUGUUGUUGCUGUGGUUGGUUGACGUUGUAAUAAUAGUAAUAGUUGUUGUUGUAGAUGAAGUUGUUGUGGUUUUUAUUUGUGGGGCGGGGCUUCAGCGACGACCGGAAGAUGCAAACGUCUAUGCUUUAUUUUUUUUGUAUUUUUUUUCUUUGUUAUCGUUUGUUGUCCUCUUUAUCACGUGGAGUGGCGGCGAAGGCUAUCAGGAAGACCCCGGCUACCUGCGUGUGUGUUAGCGACCAAUACGGAGGGGCGGGGAAAGAAAGAGAUCAUUAACGCUAUCACUAAACAACUGGGAGACUUUUAGAGAUCUAGCAACAUCUCACGAGCCAGUGGGAGACCAUGGGAGAGAUCACGCGAGAACGGCACUGACCGACUGAAGGAGGGAGGACUGGCGGACAGGGGGGCAAGAAGAGAGGGCGUACGGGAAUCCCACUGACCAAGGAGAGGCCUGGAGAGAUCAAGCCCCCAGGUAACCGGUGGAUUAGGACAUCGGGCAGGUGGAGGACGAGCACACCAACACACUGACAAACAAAAAGCCAAAAAAAAAGCCUAAAAUCGACAGGGUUCCGAAGUCUUCCUGAGCACCUUCGAAGAUCAUGGUUUUGCUGCGUGGAAUCUGAGCUCCGUAAGGCACCAGCAUAUCUGUGUACUGGAGGCAGCCGCGCCGCGCCCCACCCCGCUUAUCGGCACCAUUUGAUCACAGAUACGACCCCGGAGGACGACAAACAGGGCGGCCCCGCGGGAGGUGAGAGACACAGCCCUGGUAACAUUGGGGUAUCGGGGGUGGAAGAGGGGUGGAGGAGGAGGAGGAGGAGGAGGAGGUGGAAGAGAAUAGGAGUGAGAUGCAAGAGACUAGGAGGUGGAAAAGGGUAUGGGAGAAUGUGGAAGAGGGUAAAAGGAGGAGGUGGAAGAUUAGGAGGAGCUGCAAGAGAGUAGGAAGAGGUUUAAUAGGGUAGGAGGAAGUGGAAGACAGCAGGAGGAGGAGGAGGUGGAAAAGGAUAGAGAAAGACGGUGGAACAUGGUAGGAGUGGAACCCAUCUAUGAACAAGCCUUGGGAACACCUGACUCAAGGGAACACGUGACUGGGGUAUGUGUGGGAGGGGAGUGACGUGUGUGCGUGUGUGUGUAUGUGUGUGCAGGUGGAUGCAGGCUGGCCAGGUGCAUUACGUGUGUGUGUGUGUGGAUGUGUUUGUGUGUGAGAGAAGGUUGUUUGGACUUGAAUGAGAAACGACCACGUGACACACUUUUCUUGGACCAGACAUGUGUUGAGUGAAAGGCCGACCAGCUGUGAGGCCACGGACGUCACGAAGAGGAGGAGGAGGAGGAGAAGAAGGAAAGGAAGUGGUAGCUAGGGCAGGGACGACACAGAGAAGGAAAGAAGGAGGAGGAGAAAGUAGGAAAGAAGAAAUGAGAUAACUCGGAGGGUCAACACAAAUAGUAAGAGGAGGAGACGGAGGAAGGGAGGGAAGGGGGGGAUGCUAGCUCGCGCGUGUAAGGAAAGAGAGAAAAAACACAGACUCACAAGGAGGGAAGGAAAUGAGCGAAAUUGAGGUUAAUAACACACACUGAUACCCAAAGGAGAGGGAGAGAACCGCACGAGAAGGGGAGGACAAAAAUAUAGUGUCUUCGAAGGAGGGGACAAAGGAAAGGAAAGAUAAGGGAGAGGAGGACAUACCCGGCACUAGUGAAGGAAGGAGGAUCUUGGAAGGGAAGGGAAACGUUGGGGGAUGGACAGGAAAGGAAAGAGGGGCAAAAAAUAAAGGGUUGGUGAGAGGAAGCUAGACUCGGCACUACUGAAGGAGGGAGGAUCUUGGAACGGAGGGGAAGGAAGGGUCGAGGUGGACGCGUGUGAUGGGCCGCGACUCUCACUCAGCGGAUGAGGUCAGAAGCGUCGUAAAUAUUAUAAUGAAGGACGUAUAACAAGUCCGCGGGGGCUCGUCCUGGGGUGCCGCCGCCUCGCUUGGGUCCCUGGGUAUUAUUAUUAUUAUUAUUAUUAUUAUUAUUAUUAUUAUUAUUAUUAUUAUUAUUAUUAUUAUUAUUAUUAUUAUUAUUAUCACAUGUACAAUAGGAUGAAAAGCAGAUUGAUGUCGACCUGAUGAAAUAGUAGUAGUAAUAGUAAUAGUAGUAGUAGUAGUAGUAGUAGUAGUAGUAGUAGUAGUAAGUAUGAGUCUCCUGAACAGUUAAAACGAACGUGUAUCCUUAACUAUUUAUAUUUACUUUGAAUCACUUUAUUCAGCUAUCUAUUUCCCGGCGGCGGGGCGUCAGGAAAGAUGUGCGCGAGGCCGCCCCGCCGCGUGCACAAUGAGGUGUUGGUGCAUAUAUCACGUGUGUACAGAGGCUGACCGCCGCGCCCUGACCUAGAGGCAGCACGCUUGACGCAACUCCAGUGUCGUUCCUUUGUACCUGAAUAACGAAUGACUGAACGAGCGUGGACCAAUCAGACGGCCUUAUCCCUUGACCCAAAAGGAGUGGGGAUGGAUGGGGAAGGAGGAGGAAGAAGAGGGUGGUGAGUGAAGUGUAAGUUAAGUCUGUGUGAUAAGAUUAACGCCUGCCGCCGCGUCUGUACUCUCUCCUGACUUGUAUUUUGUACCGAACACGACCUGAAAGACGCUGUUUGUGGGGGUGUGUGCCAACAGUGCCAAGGGUUAGUGUCACGCGCCGCUAUGACCUAUUUGUAAUCAUCUAUGACUGUACACCACAAAGCGUCCUAAACAUACACAGCCGCCCGCCUCGCAGCCCCCUCGACGCCGGCACCGCGGGAGGAAGAGGAGGCGGAGGAGAAGGUUGCAAAGGGAAGGGAAAGGAGAUGAGACUUCGGGAGGAAAAGGAGGGGGAAGGAAAGGUUUUGGUGAUGCUUAGGGAAAGGAGAAAGGAAGGAGAUGAAGGCGUAGAAUGAGAGAAGGAAAGAAGGAAAGCAGGGAAGAUAAUGGAAAUGGACAAGGAAAGGAGGGAAAGGAGAGAGAAAGAUGAAGGCCUCGAUACUGACUGACUAAGAGGAAACAAACUCGCAUAAGGAGAAAAGGAGGAAAAAGGGAGAGAAACUGACUGGAAUAGGAAGGAAAGAAAGGAGGAAAGAAGGGAGAGUGAUUAUGCAGGGGGAAAGGAGAGGAGAGAAAAAGGAGAUGAAGACCCAAGCGACCAACUGACUCACUGGAGGCUCUUGUAGGGGGAAUAUAGGAGCGAAAAACGGGCCAAGAGAAAACGGGGCAGUACAGCAUCUUCAAAGGGGGACUCAAGGGAAGCGCUGCCGGGGUCGGUUUCGGGGUGCGAGGUGGCGGCUGUUCGCACCACGCAACUACACACGAUGGCCCGCGCGGAACGGACAAGUAUUGACGAUAUUCCAAAACGGACAUCAAAUUACACUGGACCGGUGCUUUAUAUAGUUUUUUUUGUUCGAGUUUGUUGACUGAUUGCUUCUUACGGCGGGGACUGCGUGGGGGGGCGGUGGUGGGGGUGGAGGGGGCAGAAGGGGUGGUGUGGACUGGAUGUUCUGCUCUUUGUUUUCCUCCUCUUCUUCCACUCUUCCAUCUUCUAUCUCCUAACUCCUCUGUCUCCCUCUUCCUCCUCCUCUUCUUCCACUCUUUCAUCUUCUAUCUCCUAACUCCUUUGUCUUCUUCUUCUUCCUCCUACCUCUUCUUCCAUGGUUCCUUCCUUUCUUCCUACCUCUAGAUUCUUUGUCCGCCUUCUCCUACUCUUUUCUUCUUCUACUGUUCCUUUCUUCUUCCUCCUUCUUCUUCUAACUCCUUUGUCUUCCUCCUCCUCCUUCCUCUACUGUUCCUUCCUUGCUUCCUACUUCUAAAUUCUUUGUCCUCCUUCGCCUUCUCUUUCUUCUUCUGUUCCUUUUUUUUUCUUCCUCCUUCUUCUUCUAACUCCUUUGUCUUCCUUCUCCUCCUCCUUCAUCCACUGCUCCUUUCUUCCUUCUCCUUUUGGCUCCUUUCUUCACCAUUCUCACUACCAUCAUCACCAUCGUCACCACUAAUACUGUCAUCACCACUACCUUGAUCUUAACCACAUCACCACCAUCAUCAUCAUCACCACACUACCAUCACCACUACCACCACAUCGUCAUCACCAACCACCACUGUUUGCUUCGUGAUCUUUUCGACACCACCACCACCACCACCACCACCAUCAUCACCACCACUACCAUUGCCUAACCACCACACUAUCCUCUCCAUCACAUCAAAUCAACCACCACCACCAUUACUACUGCCCUAACUCCCCUACCACACUGCCACCAUUGCCCCUACCACCACCACCGCCACCACCACAGCCACGAGCCUCGCCGUGGAGAAGAGUCUAUGGAGGAUGUGCUGGAGUGAUGAAGUAACGAGCGAACGAGUCUGGCGGGUCUAUUGCGGUUUUGUUGUGUGCUGGUGGAAGUCAAACGGAACGAGUAACCGAUCAAAGAAAACUAGUAAUUUGAAUCUCCUCGUCAGGGGGAAACGAGAAACAACACAAUUCGCUGAGGUAGCUGUUGUCGCCAAGCAAGAGUUUACUAACAAUAGGGAGUGUAAGCGAGUGUCUGGGUGUGCGUGUGAGUGUAGGUGUGUGUGUUAACGUAUAUAUGUGUGUGUGCGUGUGUGUGUGUGUGUGUUCCGAGGUAUAUGCAUCAUCUAGUUAUUAGUAUCAUUACGACUUACUCCUUUUGUGUCCCGUUGAGGUUAUUAGAGGUUUAGUUAUGCCUGCUAUCACAUCGUUGGCUUUUACUAUAACAUACAUCAUCGUUAGCUUCAUCAGAAUCGCAUAGGAAGAGUUGAGGCGGUCUUUCGGGUGUGAGAUAGUAGAGUUUUUGAGGUUCUGUUCGUGGUAAGGCUUUGAGGGGGGUGGGGGUGGGAAUGAUAGGUUGAAAGACAUGUAUGGCGUCACACCCCGGGACAGCCACACCCGUGACGCCACACCAGAGGACAAACACAAGUACGAAUGACGCCACACUUCACCCCGGGACAAGGAAACGCUUGGCACUGUGCACACCGCCGUCACUGCUCGGUCUGAGGGGGGGCGCGGAGGGCUCGCCGGGGGGGACGUGUCUCAUCAUAUCUGUACCGACACCAUGAACGUUAACGGCGGAGGAGGGGGAUACAGAAAGCCAUAAAAGAGGAAAAAAAGGAAAAUUCAAAGAUAAGAAGGAAAGGAGAACGGCGGAACGAGGAGGAAAGCAAUAGAAAAGGAGGAACGUCAACGCGGAUAGGAAAGAAAAAAAAUGAGAAAGGGCAUGGAGGAGGGGGAUACAGAAAGCCAUAAAAGAGGAAAAAAAGGAAAAUUCAAAAAUAAGAAGGAAAGGAGAACGGCGCAAAUAGGAGGAAAGCAAAACAAAAGCAGGAACAUCAACGCGGAUGGGAAAGAAAAUAAAAAGAUGAGAAAGGGCUUGAAAAAACUUAUCACUCUUAAUAUGCCUGACUAUUAGAAGGUGAGAGAAGGAAAACGUUGAGAACCAUUAGAGGCGGCACACGGAAACUAAAAAAAAAAGGAAAGAAAAGAUAAAGACAUAAAAUACAAACAUUGGAAGCGAACUGAGGCUUUCCUGAGUCAUCAAAACCUGAAGAAAGUGGAAAAAGGAAGUCUUAAAAUCCCUGACGAACUUGAGGCGAAUAACACACUCUUUAAUCCCUGACAAAAUGACGUUAAAAAAAGCUAAGUACGAGAGACUUAAAGAAAAACUACAACAUGAAGCUUAGAAGGAAAAGGCAAAGCUGUCUUAAGAAACGGCUAAACUAAGGGAGGUAAACAAGAAAAACAAGGAAAACAAGUUAAUGCAAGCAGGUGAAGGGGUGGGGGGGAGGAGGAGAGGUUGUGGUGGUGGUGGUGGCGACACACACACACACACACACACACACACACACACACACCACUCCACCCAGACACUCAACCGAACGGAGCGAACACGGGAAAAGGGAAGUGAAAAGAAGCGAAGAUCAAAUAAAAAAAAAGGGAGGAGGAGGAGAAAGGGCGAAAAAUAAGGCGAGGAGAGGCGAUAAAUUUCCAGUGCGAGGACAUGUAUAGUGGGGGGCGAGGCCGCGAUCCUUUGAGACGCGCGGCCUUCCCGUACACCGAAGUGGAAAAUCUCUGAAGUGAAUUAUGUCGCAAAGGGCCUGCGGAGGAGGUCGUAGUCUGAGACGCGGCCGACUCUCCCCCAUCAAUUAUUUUUAAAGGCCAAAAAAAAAGGCAAUAUGCGUUCUCAUCAGUGUUUUUUGGAGCUCAUAUUAAAGAAGAAGGGUCAAACUACCACUAGGGUCAUGAAGCUACCCAUGGAAAGCUACACAACUUCUAGGAAAGCCAUGUCAAAUGUUAGUAUUGUGGCGACUCAUAAUAAUUUUUCUAUAGGCCAAAACAAGAGGUACAAUCCGUUCUUAUUAGUGUUUUUUAGAGUUCACGCUACAGAGGAAGAGUCAAACUACCACUUGGGUCAUAAAGCUACCCAUGGAAAGCCCCACAACUCCUAGGAAAGCCAUGUCAAAUGUUAGCUAGUGUUGUUGGGACGAAAUCAUGACUCAUAUGAAUAUUUUUUCUAUAGUCCAAAAAAUGAGGUAAAAUCCGUUCUUAUGACUGUUUUUAAGAGUUCACGCUACAGAAGAAGGGUCAAACUACCACUGGGGGCCAAAAACUACCCCUGGAAAGCCCCACAACACCUACGAAAGCCAUGUCAACUAGGUAUAUAUGUGUGUGUGUGUGUGUGUUUAGGCGACGGAAGGCUUAGAAAUAUGGCAUCUGACUCUCCCCAGCCUCCCGAACCGUGAGAUCUGACGCUGUUAUCUCUCCAAAUAUACAUAAUAAGAGUUCUCCUCGACGCUCUGAGGCGGGGACGGAGAGACUAUAGAUCACUGCGUCCCAUUCAGACGAGCCCCCCGCGCUAUAGACGACGAAACCCGAUCCUAUCACAGAGAAGGACACGUAAGCGCUCUCAUCCGAUGUUGCCGAUGCUCGAGUGUUUUUGUGUUGUGUGAAAUAAGGGAAGGGGAAGGAGGGGAGGGUUAGGGGGAAGGGAUGUGAGGUUUUAUUUGUUUAAUAUUUCCAUUGGUGUGUAUUUUUUCUCCUCUCUUUUUGCGGAUUCUUCGUUGGUUGAGAAUAGUGAAGGAAGGUAAGUUAGGUUAGGUUAGGCUAGGUUAGGAAUGGUGUGACUUGUAAUAGUAGUAGUAAUAAUAGUGGUAGUAGUAGUAGUAGUAGUAGUAAUAGGAGGAGGAGGAGGAAUAGUAGUAGUAGUAGUUGUUGUUAUUGCUGGUUUUGUUAUUAUUGUAGUAGUAGGAAUAUGGAAUGAUGUAGGCCGUUCAUAUAUUUCCCUAUACGGUCUUAUUAUGUGCCUUUAUUCGCUUCUUUGGUCGGAUAAGAGAGGAGUCGUGCAUCGGGCGUGGAGGGGCGCCCAUACUCUACUCCGCCUGGGGUCAGAAACCAUCAGCAACGAAGCCCCCGCCUACUACCCUCCUACCUGACAACCAGAAGCCAGAUUUUGCGUAACCCCCCAUCGAUCAACUACCCACCGAUUACCAGCACCAGAGUAGCCAUCCCCUCCCUCUGUCACGUUAGGGAGGACUCCUUUACUGACGUGUUCGAACCUUUGGCGGGGUAGAGUAUAGUUGCCCCAUCGAACCCUUAAUAUCUACACAUCUUCUUGCUUCGCCUUGCACACUCCACUGAUCUGCCUGGAUACCCUUACAACACUGAAACUCGCUUGGAAAACUGUAUUGCCUGUUUCUGUAUUGGUCCAGCGGCGCCCACGUGAGGCUAGGAUUAUAGGGGGAUGGGGUAUGUAUGGAUAUGUGUAUGGAUAUGUGUAUGUAUGGAUGUAUGUGUGUGUGUGUGUGUGUGUGUGUACUUCCAUGGCUAUGUGAGUUGGGGUUAUAUGCAUUGGUGUUGUUGUCGUUGCUGCUGCUGUUGUUGUUUUCGAGUGCCUAUGGUUAUGAUGGUUGUGGAGAUGGUGACCUAAGUGCCGCCCCUUGAGAGCCACCCCGGGGCCUUGUACUGGUGGAUCCUGGUACCCUGAGAGACCAUCACGUCCCCUCUGAGUGAACACAUAUUGUACAGCGCGAUCCUCAUUUUUUUUGUCUUUUUUAUGUUUUUUUCCCACUUAUGACACUCCAGUUUUCCCUUUCAAAGCCCGAGGCGUCUUAGAAUGACCUUAUCGAUCACCCGUGUGCCUUAGCCUACUCUCCUUAGGUCUACUUUUAUGCUUAUGUCAGUGAGUGGGGGAGGAGGCGGCUCGGCAGGAGGGGUAGUGAAGGGGGGGCCGCGUGUGUCAAGGGGCGUGGGAGUGACAGCCUCGUGGGUCGGUAGGCUCACGUGACCGCCGAGGCGCCGUCCCCGUCAGCGGCAGGGCGUCUGGUGAUGGGCUCCCUCCCUCAUACCUCAUCCAGCCUGAGUGAGGAGCCCCAUUUUGAGGCGGUCAGCCAAUCAGGGAACGCGUCUCGGCGGAGCAAUCAGGAAGCCAACUCACCCAUAAGGAAUGUCUACGGCCCUCAGCCCCCUGCCCUCCCCUCCCCCCAGGCCUCCCCCUCGUCCCCCUCGGGCUUUAAAAGGGGACAAAUCUCGUUAGGAAAUCCUUUGAGGGAAAGAUGAGUGAAGGGUGAAGCAGCGCCCUCCAGCCUUGACCCGACGUCCCCGCGGGCCUCGCUGUUAACCCACACAACACACCAUCGCCAGGGCACGCACACACGCCUAGUACCACACCCCGCACGCCACACGCCGCACCCACCACGCCCUACAGGUUCGAGGCCGAGGAACAUACACUCGAAGCACAGCGCGGCCCAGCGGGGAAGGUGUAAGAAAUAGCUACACGGCUGCACAUUAGAGGGACAAGCCUGACGGUCGCUGAGGUUGUAAUAUGGGUCACUCAGAGGUUUGUGUGUGAUGUGGUAUUCCUUUCAGCUAUUGGUUAGUUAGUACGGAGAAUAGCAAUGGCAAAGAAGUCCUGUUGUUAUAUAUAUUUGCUUGAUGUUAGUGAAUGUUGUCGGGUUUGUUUAUGUUGUUGUUCAUGUUGUUGGUUAUGUUGUUGGUUGGUACCGCGAGUUCAUACGAGUUUGUCAAUGAGAUCCCCAUCUUACGCCGUUCUCAAUAUACGCAAAGGUAAACAAACAGGAGUAAAUACGCGGAAAAGGGAGACAGGAGGUUUUGUUACGCAUCCUUACACAUUAAAGCGAAGAUAUAGACAGACAGACACACACACAGACAGACGUGCCUUGACUCAUCUAGACAGCGAUAUAUAUUUUUUUGUUUGCAUUUUUUUUAUGGUUUGAUUUUUAUAAUAUAUUGUUUCUCCUUGGUUCUUCUUCUGCUUCUUCCCUCCUUCCUGCCUUCUGCUUCUUGCCUCCUCACUGAGUCCGAAUGUAUUGUGCGUUAAGUGGUAAUCUAUCUCGAGAUCGUCUAUGCUCUCUGAAGAAAGGAAAGAGAAGGAACUUAACACGUGAUGACUGACUUGAAGCGUCCCCUUGAAAAAGUAAAUAGGAACCUCGAUUUUCGCAAGAAGCUAAACAGUAAGUAAAGAAAAAGGAACAUCGGUGGUAUUUGCGUUACUUAUAAGCUGGUGAAGAAAAGUAAGAAAAAGGAAGAAGCGAGUGAUGGAGUAAGUAAAGAAAAAAAGGAACAUCGGUGGUAUUAGCAUGACUUCUGAGCUGGUGAAGAAAAGUAAAUCAAAGGAAAAAAGUAACUAUCUCCAAGAAGUAAAUGAAAGUAAGUGAAGUAAAUGGAUUCUCGGUGGUAUCUGCAUGACUUUUAAACUGGUGAGGAAAAGUAAAUCAAAGGAAAAAGUAACUAUCUCCAAGAAGUAAGUGAAAGAGUAAUUGAAGUAAAUGGAUUCUCGGUGGUAUCUGCAUGACUUUUAAACUGGUGAGGAAAAGUAAAUCAAAGGAAAAAGUAACUAUCUCCAAGAAGUAAAUGAAAGUAAGUGAAGUAAAGGGAUUCUCGGUGGUAUCUGCAUGACUUUUAAACUGGUGAGGAAAAGUAAAUCAAAGGAAAAAGUAACUAUCUCCAAGACGUAAAUGAAAGAGUAAUUGAAGUAAAGGGAUAAUCGGUGGUAUUCGCAUGACUUUUAAUCAGGUUAAGAAGAGUAAGAAAAAGGAAAAAGGAGUUAUUCGCAAGAUGUAAAUGAGAGUAGGUUGAGAAAAGGGAACAUCGGUGGUAUUCUAGUGACUUUUAAGCCGGUGAAGAAGAGGAAGAGAAAGGGUUAGAAAGAGUUAGGGGCGCUCUGUAAUGGAACCUAAACAAAACGAUACAAGACAUAGGAAAUCAAGACCUAUCCCUAAUUGAUGUUGUUAGGUUAAGUCAAGUUAGGUUUGGUUAGAAAAAAAGAAAAUGGAAACUAAGACCUAUCCAUAAGUGAUGUUAAGUUCAGUUUAGGUUAAGUUAGGUUAGGUUAGGGUCGCUACUAAGGGCGCUCUGAUAAGGUUUGGGGACACGCCGAUACGAGAGCCAGCAUAGAGAUAACGAGGC